rnacentral:lncRNA from 1 species
GGUCGUCCACAUAUUUACGUAACAUCGAUACGUUAAAAACCUUAUGAACACGCGACAUACUUGGCGGUAAAACGAGUCUAUAAGCCACAGUUCCUACUAGAUCAAGGAUUUCAAAUGGGCCAAUAAAAUCGAGGGUUGAGAUUUCCUCUCUUCAGCAACUAUUGCUUUUAAAAUACCGCCCUCUUGAACCUUCUUCUUCGUAUUCAUCAGCUCCGGGUCUGUAGCUUUAACGACUUUAACAUUAUCGACUAAAGUCGAUUCUAAUCGUAUAUUUGUUAUCUUCACGUGGGUCCCUAGAGUCUUUAACUCUAUCUUCAUCAUUUGUAAGUUAUACGAAAUGGGUUUUUGUACUGGGGUUAUUACAAAAUUCAAUUUCACGCUCUAGGGGUAGGCUAAGAAG